UUGCACGCUGGCGGCAUGCUUUACACAUGCCAGUCGAACGGCAGCGCGGGCUUCGGCCUGGCGGCGAGUGGCGAACGGGUGAGUAAUGCAUCGGAACGUGCCCAGUAGUGGGGGAUAGCCCGGCGAAAGCCGGAUUAAUACCGCAUACGACCUGAGGGUGAAAGCGGGGGACCGAAAGGCCUCGCGCUAUUGGAGCGGCCGAUGUCGGAUUAGCUAGUUGGUGGGGUAAAGGCUUACCAAGGCGACGAUCCGUAGCUGGUCUGAGAGGACGACCAGCCACACUGGGACUGAGACACGGCCCAGACUCCUACGGGAGGCAGCAGUGGGGAAUUUUGGACAAUGGGGGCAACCCUGAUCCAGCCAUGCCGCGUGCGGGAAGAAGGCCUUCGGGUUGUAAACCGCUUUUGUUCGGGAAGAAAUCCUCUGGGCUAAUACCCCGGGGGGAUGACGGUACCGGAAGAAUAAGCACCGGCUAACUACGU
rnacentral:rRNA from 1 species